rnacentral:tRNA from 1 species
AUUUAGAUAGCUUAAUUUUUAAAGUUUGAUAUUGAAAAUAUCAUGAUGGAUUUUUCCUUUAAA